AUGAUUCUACAAGUAGUAUUACCCAUUAUGCAACUCAAGUUAAUAGGCGUAAAUUACAAACCAUUACUGGUAGUCAGUAUCUCUCUAGAGAUGAAGGAAUUGGUGCUAUAGCAAGUUCUUCUGAUAGUGAUGAUACUGACAGACAAGAUAUUGUUAAUGAAUUUACAUACAGGAGACAACUAAAUCAGGAUGCUCCUUCAGACAGUGGCUAUAGUUCAGGAGGUUGUAGCUCAACCAGUUCAGUAGAUCAUCACAGGAAAUGUACAACUCCAAAAAAUACAAGCACACAUCAACAAACCUUAUUGUGUGACGUAAUACCAGAAGAAUCUAGUGUAACUGACUCAGCUUUACCUCCUGAAAUAAACUCACUAUCAUCACAAGAAAUAACAGCAAGCAGUACUACCCCAACAGUACAACCAGCACAUCAGCUUACUGAUGUUGUCAUUGCUGAUUUUGAAAAAGGGAAAGCAACCUAUUGUCCAACUACUAAAAAAUAUCAUUUUGA